UACAGAGGUCUCAAGCGUUGUUCGGAUUCAUUGGGCGUAAAGGGUGCGUAGGCGGCGCGGUAAGUCGGGGUGUGAAAUUUCGAGGCUUAACUUCGAAACUGCAUUCGAUACUGCCGUGCUUGAGGACUGGAGAGGAGACUGGAAUUUACGGUGUAGCGGUGAAAUGCGUAGAGAUCAGGAAGAACACCGGUGGCGAAAAGCGCUCUGCUAGGCCGCAACUGACACUGAGGGACGAAAGCUAGGGGGAGCGAAUGGG
rnacentral:rRNA from 1 species